rnacentral:rRNA from 1 species
GACGAACGCUGGCGGCGUGCUUAACACAUGCAAGUCGAACGAAGUGGCGAACGGGUGAGUAACGCGUAAUCAACCUGCCCUUCAGAGGGGGACAACAGUUGGAAACGACUGCUAAUACCGCAUACUGAAGGAGGGGAUUGCGUUUGAUUAGCUGGUUGGAGGGGUAACGGGCCAACAAGGCGAAGAUCAGUAGCCGGUCUGAGAGGGUGAACGGGCAAAAUGGGACUGGGACACGGCCCAGACUCCUACGGGAGGCAGCAGGGGGGAAUCUUCCGAAAUGGACGAAAGUCUGACGGAACAACGCCGCGGGAGUGAUGACGGCCUUCGGGUUGGAAAGCUCUGUUAAUCGGGACGCGGUACCGGAAUAGAAAGCCACGGCUAACUACGUGCCAGCAGCCGCGGUAAUUC